rnacentral:lncRNA from 1 species
CCCCCCCCCCUCUCUCUCCUCUUUUCAUAUCUCCCAAUUAAAUCCUUCAAAACCCCCUCAAGCUUCACGAAUAGUAGAUCUAAGAAAUCCCUGCUGCCACUUUUUUUCCUUUAAAAUCUUAAAGAUUGAGCCACUCUUUCCACUCAAUUCUUAAAUAUAUAGAUAGAGCUCAGGGGUUAUCUCUUUAUAUUGGUCUUGGCCCGAAACUCCGGCGACCAGAAUACCGGCAGCCGCCACUGAUCGCCAAUGCUGCCAAUACUGCCUCUCAUUUUUGCCUCCGGCCUCGUGUAGGUUUCUAUUAUUGGUAAUAGCAAAUCCAUUUUUCGGUUCACCGGAAUUUAUGGUUCUAGUGUAUAUCAACAAUUAAAGCAUGCUUGAUCCUGAACCACUGCCUAUAGUAAUUAUUUCACCUUUGCCCGGGCAGUUAAGUUCAUGGUAGAAUCCUAAUCCUCUGCCCGUUCUUCAAUUUUCUGUUUUUUUGGAGUUUAGUUUAGGAUAAAGUUUUAUUUUAUUUUCAUGUUGUAUUU